GUGGGGAAUAUUGCGCAAUGGGCGAAAGCCUGACGCAGCGACGCCGCGUGUGGGAUGAAGGUCUUCGGAUCGUAAACCACUGUCGGGAGGGACGAAGCUCUGACGGUACCUCCAAAGGAAGCACCGGCUAACUCUGUGCCAGCAGCCGCGGUAAUACAGAGGGUGCAAGCGUUGUCCGGAAUCACUGGGCGUAAAGGGCGCGUAGGCGGCCUGGUAAGUAGGGGGUGAAAUUCUGCGGCUCAACCGCAGGACGGCCUCCUAAACUGCCGGGCUUGAGCACGGUAGAGGCUGGUGGAAUUCCCGGUGUAGCGGUGGAAUGCGUAGAGAUCGGGAAGAACAUCGGUGGCGAAGGCGGCCAGCUGGGCCGUUGCUGACGCUGAGGCGCGACAGCGUGGGGAGCAAACAGGAUUAGAUACCCGAGUAGUCC
rnacentral:rRNA from 1 species